UCCGGGUUGGUCCCGGCGGUCCGCCUAGACAUGGUAACUAGGCGCGGGGGUUGCGCUCGUUGCGGGACUUAACCCAACACCUCACGGCACGAGCUGACGACAGCCGUGCAGCACCUGCGCACGCUCCCUCGCGGGUCCCCUCGGUUUCCCUCGGGUACCACGUGCAUGUCAAGCCCGGGUAAGGUUCUUCGCGUUGCAUCGAAUUAAACCACACGCUCCGCUGCUUGUGCGGGCCCCCGUCAAUUCCUUUGAGUUUUAGCCUUGCGGCCGUAGUCCCCAGGCGGGGUGCUUACUGCGUUAGCGACGGCACCGGGGGGGUCGAUACCCCCGACACCUAGCACCCAUCGUUUACGGCGUGGACUAC
rnacentral:misc_RNA from 1 species